rnacentral:lncRNA from 1 species
CGAAGAGUUUCAGGAUAAAUGGACCACUGUUCCUUCUCUCACACUUGAGGACAACAUCUAUGUCAAAGUUUACAUGAUUCCAGCAAAUCUGUUUCUGAGAGUGGAGAGGUGUUGGGCCACACCAACCAAUGACCCUUACAGCAACAUUCAGUACACCUUAAUCAGGAACAGCUGUCCAGUGUUGUGGAACGACCAGACACUAGCUGUGAUGAAGAACGGUCAAGGACCAGAAGCUCUGUUCAGGAUACAAAUGUUCAAGUUUGUUGGCAGCUCCUACACGGAUGUUUUCCUGCAUUGCAACGUCCAAAUCUGUCAUAACACAGGAGGAGUGUGCCAGCCUACAAGAAACAUACCAAUUUUGAACAAUAUGUGGGUAAAUAAAAGAUGUAGAUUUUCUAGUUUUGAUUAA